AAGUGGUACGCGAGCUGGGUUUAGAACGUCGUGAGACAGUUCGGUCCCUAUCUGCCGUGGGCGCUGGAGAAUUGAGGGGGGCUGCUCCUAGUACGAGAGGACCGGAGUGGACGCAUCACUGGUGUUCGGGUUGUCAUGCCAAUGGCACUGCCCGGUAGCUAAAUGCGGAAGAGAUAAGUGCUGAAAGCAUCUAAGCACGAAACUUGCCCCGAGAUGAGUUCUCCCUGAGACUUUAAGUCUCCUGAAGGAACGUUGAAGACGACGACGUUGAUAGGCCGGGUGUGUAAGCGCAGCGAUGCGUUGAGCUAACCGGUACUAAUGAACCGUGAGGCUUAACCUUACAACGCCGAAG
rnacentral:rRNA from 1 species